GUCGGCGUAGUUCAAUGGUAGAACGAGGGACUCAUAAGCCCUAGACGAUGGUUCGAUUCCAUCCGUCGACA
rnacentral:tRNA from 1 species